AUACUUACCUGGCAGGGGAGCUACCAUGCUCACAAAAGUAGAUUUCCAUUCAUGGCUCAUUCAUGACACUAUGGAUGUGCUGACCCCUGCAUUUCCCCAAAUGUGAUAAACUUGACUGUAUAAUUUGUGUUAGUGAGGGACUGUGUUCGUACUCUCCCCCC